GUUUGGAUAACUCAGUUGGUUAGAGUAAAGGACUGAAAAUCCUUAAGUCAGUGGUUCAAGUCCACUUCCAGACA
rnacentral:tRNA from 1 species